UAAAACAAGAGGAAUAAUAUAGCCUAAAGCAUAUUAAAAAUGUGCCACUAUCUUUAAAAACAAAUAGAAGUUUUCCAGUCCUAAAGAUCUUGGAGCCAAAGCGACGGCACCUUUCCCGAUUGUGAAAGAGUUGAAGCGCUGAUAGGUAGCUACUCAGUGACUUCUUAAUGCUCUCUCUUUGCACAUAAGCACUAGGGACUUUUACAGUGCACACAUUUAGAAGGAUUAUGCUACUUUACACUUUCUUACAAAUCAGAAAACUAAUUUCAUGAGCUUAAUUCCCCCCUUCACUUGAGAGAAAUAGGUACCUAACUUGCACAUCAAAAUUUAGCAUGAAAUUACCUCCUUACGCUGCCACCACCAAUUAUAUAAUAAUAAAAUUAGCUUUCAGCUAAGCACAUCAAUACUGGCACACAAAGCACUUCUACGCUCAGGUCACUAGCUCCAAUCCAUACAAGUAGGAAAGAAAAAUCUGCUGUAUGUAAGAGUGGUGGUCAGCAUUCAGUUUCAAGUGUGUGGUGGUUGCUAUGACAAUGUUACCACGACAUCUUGCAUAACCUUAGAAAAGAGUCCAAGGAUUGAAUAAAUACUGACACCAAGUUCUCCACUUUCCUAAAAGAGAUACUCCAACUGCUUUCAAAUGGAAAGAGAAACUCUACACACCAAAUCCACAAUUUGAAACAGGAAAAUUUUGGAAAAAGACACCCAACAUGAAACAUCUCAGCAAAAGAGGUAUACAGCACUUCUUUCACUUUGGAGGAAUGACGGCAGACAACCAAGAAGUGAACCAUCAAAAUUAAUGGAUUGUGUUUGAAAAAUUAACCUAAAACAAUAUGUACUUCUAAAAGAAGGUUUUAAAUGAAUAGUGAAUUAUGUUCUAGAAGGUAAAAAUGUUACAUGACAACAGAACCAGAUGACAGAACAACUGCUUGUGAAACAAGAAGAAAGCAAGCUAAUUUAAAUAAACCACAGGGCUAUCCUUCA
rnacentral:lncRNA from 1 species